CAAGCAGCAUGUGAUCAUGGAGGAAAACCUGCAAACGAGGAACUGUUCUGGUGUAAGAAGAUUUUAUCCACGGAGGCCGACAUGAGACGUGUGUAUUUUUCAAUGUUCUCAGUACAAACACUCGCAGCACAAGGGUGAGCUCAUUACAGUAACGUUGCUCCAGUCCUAGCAAAGUGUGGUUUUAUUUAUCAAUAAGGCCUUCUGCCUCCUCCACUGACAAUAACAACCCUUUCCCCAACAUCACCAAACUUGAAACUGGAAGUGUUCUGGCCUCACUGGCUACCUCACUCAGCUAUCCAGUAAGUUCACCUCCUCCACACAGUGACCCCCGGACCACGCCGUGAUGCUGAGUGUUUCAUUUGCAUGAAAACCUUUCUAGUGUCUACAUCUUAAAUAAUACAGAUGAGCGUUUCCCCCCAAGUGUCUGAUGGUUACCGUAAAACCCCGUAUAUACGCUCACUCCAGGUUCUACCUUAGACAAAUGAUUUGUGAAAGGACCGUACUGAAACUGUACUGCGUCCCCCUCCCCCACAGCGGGAUUACACAUUAUUCCUCUUUGGGGUUGUUAGAUCUGCUGACCUAAAAGCACUUCAUUAAACUUCUUCUCUCAGAGAGGCUCCAGCACACAGGACUGAUAGAGCUCCAGUACAUCAUAUCUGUAAAGUCAUGUGACUCAUCACAGCAUCAGAAUAGACAAGAAUUCACUGUGAGCUUCACAUCUCAUUACAGCUAAUGGACCAAUCAAAUCAGUCCACAGCUUCAAAGCAUCCAAUCAGGCGUGAGUCUGGACCUGCUUUUCUACUGAACUCACAAGUUCAUUACCUCACUAUCACUUUGUCUAAACAGGAACGAUGAUCACACUCUUUGUCGCGCUUUACUCUCUUUUUUCUCUCUGCACAGCUGGAAAAACGUCUGACAUCAAGGAGCUUCAUGUGAAAACAGUAAAGCGUGGAGAAAAUGUAACUAUGGAGUGUAGCAUGAGCAAGGUCACAAACAAAAAUAAUUUAGCUUGGUACAGACAGAGUUUUGGAAAAGUUCCUCGGUAUUUUGUAAGAUAUUACAGCUCUAAUAGUGGCUACACAUUUGCAGAGGGAUUUAAAGAGAGCCGCUUCGGUAUGACUGUAAAUGACCAGAAGUUUGAUCUCAACAUUAUCGGAACGAGAGAAGAUGAUGCAGGAGACUAUUUCUGUGGAGAAGUGGAGGGAAAUACAAUAAAGUUCACAUCUGGAACACGUCUGGAAUUUGAAGGUGAAGAGAUGAAACACUGUCCUACACCUGGAACGGUUAGUAACAACACAGAUUCUGUUACACGCCAGGAUUCAAAGGGCAGCCAUGGAGAAGGUUCCAAUUAUCCUGAUCAGAUGCAUGUGCUGGUCUGGCUCUCCAUUUUUAGAGUUGGAGUUCUUGCCUUCAUGCUUCUUAUCUUUCCAAUAAUCCUGACUGUUUUCAAAUUAAGAUCAAAUUAGAAAUUCAGAUACAAAUGGAAGAAAUACUGAUUUGAGGAGAAAACAGUGUGUUAGAUGUAACUAGAGCUAAUUGCUUAUAUUGUCCGUAUAUUUUAAUGAUUUUGGUCUAACUGUAAUGUGGAGGUAUUUACCAGCCGUACUUACAGCUGCAUUUAAGGGCUCCUGAGAGGCGCAGUACAAAAUCAUUCUCCCUAUUGUCUCGGGGUCUAAUCCUAACCACGCCACAGACAUCCGUGGCCCGAAGUCCAGGAGAGCAAAAUUGGCCGUGCUCUCAAGGAGGGAGGGAUAUGCUCUCUCUCCCCUGUCAAUCACAGCAACACCAGCCUAUCAUCUGUGGGUGUGUUAUGCUGCCCCCUGAUGGUCAGAAGUUAUAAAAGAUGCAGUUAUCAGGAUUCACGUGUCUCACAGGAAGCAUGUGAUAGCCUUCACCCUCCCUGGUUGGUAGCUGUUGUGUGACAGGGGAGACCUAACUGGAGGGUGGGAACUGGCCAUGAAUAAAUUAGGGAGAAAUUCAGGGGAAAAUGUAAAAAUGCAUUUAAUGAAAUAAAACUAAAGU